rnacentral:ncRNA from 1 species
GUAAAAAAUUUAUAAGAAUAUGAUGUUGGUUCAGAUUAAGCGCUAAAUAAGGACAUGACACAUGCGAAUCAUACGUUUAUUAUUGAUAAGAUAAUAAAUAUGUGGUGUAAACGUGAGUAAUUUUAUUAGGAAUUAAUGAACUAUAGAAUAAGCUAAAUACUUAAUAUAUUAUUAUAUAAAAAUAAUUUAUAUAAUAAAAAGGAUAUAUAUAUAAUAUAUAUUUAUCUAUAGUCAAGCCAAUAAUGGUUUAGGUAGUAGGUUUAUUAAGAGUUAAACCUAGCCAACGAUCCAUAAUCGAUAAUGAAAGUUAGAACGAUCACGUUGACUCUGAAAUAUAGUCAAUAUCUAUAAGAUACAGCAGUGAGGAAUAUUGGACAAUGAUCGAAAGAUUGAUCCAGUUACUUAUUAGGAUGAUAUAUAAAAAUAUUUUAUUUUAUUUAUAAAUAUUUAAUAUUUAUAAUAAUAAUAAUAAUAAUAUAUAUAUAUAAAUUGAUUAAAAAUAAAAUCCAUAAAUAAUUAAAAUAAUGAUAUUAAUUACCAUAUAUAUUUUAUAUGGAUAUAUAUAUUAAUAAUAAUAUUAAUUUAUUAUUAUUAAUAAUAUAUUUUAAUAGUCCUGACUAAUAUUUGUGCCAGCAGUCGCGGUAACACAAAGAGGGCGAGCGUUAAUCAUAAUGGUUUAAAGGAUCCGUAGAAUGAAUUAUAUAUUAUAAUUUAGAGUUAAUAAAAUUAAUUAAAGAAUUAUAAUAGUAAAGAUGAAAUAAUAAUAAUAAUUAUAAGACUAAUAUAUGUGAAAAUAUUAAUUAAAUAUUAACUGACAUUGAGGGAUUAAAACUAGAGUAGCGAAACGGAUUCGAUACCCGUGUAGUUCUAGUAGUAAACUAUGAAUACAAUUAUUUAUAGUAUAUAUUAUAUAUAAAUAAUAAAUGAAAAUGAAAGUAUUCCACCUGAAGAGUACGUUAGCAAUAAUGAAACUCAAAACAAUAGACGGUUACAGACUUAAGCAGUGGAGCAUGUUAUUUAAUUCGAUAAUCCACGACUAACCUUACCAUAUUUUGAAUAUUAUAAUAAUUAUUAUAAUUAUUAUAUUACAGGCGUUACAUUGUUGUCUUUAGUUCGUGCUGCAAAGUUUUAGAUUAAGUUCAUAAACGAACAAAACUCCAUAUAUAUAAUUUUAAUUAUAUAUAAUUUUAUAUUAUUUAUUAAUAUAAAGAAAGGAAUUAAGACAAAUCAUAAUGAUCCUUAUAAUAUGGGUAAUAGACGUGCUAUAAUAAAAUGAUAAUAAAAUUAUAUAAAAUAUAUUUAAUUAUAUUUAAUUAAUAAUAUAAAACAUUUUAAUUUUUAAUAUAUUUUUUUAUUAUAUAUUAAUAUGAAUUAUAAUCUGAAAUUCGAUUAUAUGAAAAAAGAAUUGCUAGUAAUACGUAAAUUAGUAUGUUACGGUGAAUAUUCUAACUGUUUCGCACUAAUCACUCAUCACGCGUUGAAACAUAUUAUUAUCUUAUUAUUUAUAUAAUAUUUUUUAAUAAAUAUUAAUAAUUAUUAAUUUAUAUUUAUUUAUAUCAGAAAUAAUAUGAAUUAAUGCGAAGUUGAAAUACAGUUACCGUAGGGGAACCUGCGGUGGGCUUAUAAAUAUCUUAAAUAUUCUUACA